GGGGCAACCCUGCGAGUAGAGUGGCGAACGAGUGAGUAACACAUCGGAACGUGCCCAGGGGUGGGGGACAACCUCGAGAAAUCGAGGCUAAUACCGCAUACGUCCUGAGGGAGAAAGCGGGGGAUCUGCAAGGACCUCGCGCUCGUGGAGCGGCCGAUGCCGGAUUAGCUAGUUGGUGGGGUAAAGGCCUACCAAGGCUACGAUCCGUAGCUGGUUUGAGAGAACGACCAGCCACACUGGGACUGAGACACGGCCCAGACUCCUACGGGAGGCAGCAGUGGGGAAUUUUGGACAAUGGGGGCAACCCUGAUCCAGCCAUGCCGCGUGAGUGAAGAAGGCCUUCGGGUUGUAAAGCUCUUUCGGCCGGAACGAAAUCGGGUACGUGAAUAACGUGCCUGGAUGACGGUACUGGAAGAAGAAGCACCGGCUAACUACGUGCCAGCAGCCGCGGUAAUACGUAGGGUGCGAGCGUUAAUCGGAAUUACUGGGCGUAAAGCGUGCGUAGGCGGUUUUGUAAGUCAGAUGUGAAAUCCCCGGGCUUAACCUGGGAACUGCGUUUGAAACUACGGAGCUAGAGUGUGGCAGAGGGGGGUGGAAUUCCACGUGUAGCAGUGAAAUGCGUAGAUAUGUGGAGGAACACCGAUGGCGAAGGCAACCCCCUGGGCCGACACUGACGCUGAGGCACGAAAGCGUGGGGAGCAAACAGGAUUAGAUACCCUGAUAGUCCACGCCCUAAACUAUGUCAACUAGUUGUCGGAAAAGCAAUAUCUUGGUAACGAAGCUAACGCGUGAAGUAGACCGCC
rnacentral:rRNA from 1 species